rnacentral:pre_miRNA from 1 species
UGUGCACCAGAGGGGUCCCUCGGCCUGGCCUAUGGGACGGGCUGAAACUGGCUUUCCAACAUCCCCUGAGAGGUCCUGGAUUGUGAGCGGGCACAGGCCAGGCCGAGGGACCCCACUGGUGCACA